ensembl:lncRNA
UAUGCAGAGAAGUGUCUCUCUGCUUCAAACAACUCAGUGGGGAUGUGAUAGGGGCUGAAUGGAUGCAGGUGUACCUAUUUAAACCCGUAACGCCAUAUGGUAGCAAGCAGCCACUCGCAGCCCCACAGCAGCUAAGGAGUCCGCGCAGGCUGGCGGCCAGCAGCACGUGCCCCAGGAGCAGCAGCAGCACCCGCUGCAGAGACAAGGACAGGGGCUGCUCCCAGAUGGCGGGGAUGCAGAGCUCCAUCUCUCAGCCUGAGCUUCCUGCUUCUGCACCUGUCACAUCUGCCCCUGUGGCUCAGUACCCACCGCCACCACCCUCCACUCGGGCACACUACAUAAUCUGCACACACCUCUGGUGAGCGCUGCCUUGUGAUGCUGCUGUCACGUUAUCCAGAGAUUAGCUUGCUUUGCAAUGCUCUCAUUAAAGAGGGUUGGGU